rnacentral:rRNA from 1 species
GCCUAUCAGCUUGUUGGUGAGGUAACGGCUCACCAAGGCGACGACGGGUAGCCGGCCUGAGAGGGUGACCGGCCACACUGGGACUGAGACACGGCCCAGACUCCUACGGGAGGCAGCAGUGGGGAAUAUUGCACAAUGGGCGCAAGCCUGAUGCAGCAACGCCGCGUGAGGGACGACGGCCUUCGGGUUGUAAACCUCUUUUAGUAGGGAAGAAGCGAAAGUGACGGUACCUGCAGAAAAAGCACCGGCUAACUACGUGCCAGCAGCCGCGGUAAUACGUAGGGUGCAAGCGUUGUCCGGAAUUAUUGGGCGUAAAGAGCUCGUAGGCGGUCUGUCGCGUCUGCUGUGAAAACCCGAGGCUCAACCUCGGGCCUGCAGUGGGUACGGGCAGACUAGAGUGCGGUAGGGGAGAUUGGAAUUCCUGGUGUAGCGGUGGAAUGCGCAGAUAUCAGGAGGAACACCGAUGGCGAAGGCAGAUCUCUGGGCCGUAACUGACGCUGAGGAGCGAAAGCGUGGGGAGCGAACAGGAUUAGGUACCCUGGUAGUCCACGCCGUAAACGUUGGGCGCUAGAUGUGGGGACCAUUCCACGGUUUCCGUAUCGCAGUUAACGCAUUAAGCGCCCCGCCUGGGGAGUACGGCCGCAAGGCUA